GACGAACGCUGGCGGCGUGCCUAAUACAUGCAAGUAGAAAGCAGUGGGGACGGGUGAGUUACACGUGGGUAACCUCCCAUCAGAGGGGAUAACACUUGGAAACAGGUGCUAAAACGAUACUGAUGGAUGGACCCGCGGUGCAUUAGCUAGCUGGUGAGGUAACGGCUCACCAAGGCCACGAUUCAUAGCCGACCUGCGAGGGUGAUCGUCCACACUGGGACUGAGACACGGCCCUUACUCCUGCGGGAGGCAGCAGUCGGGAAUCUUGGGCAAUGGACGCAAAUCUGACCGAGAAACGCCGCGUGAGUGACGAAGGUUUGCGGAUCUUAAAGCUCUGUUGUUAGAGAAUCGGUAUCUGACCAGAAAGCCACGGCUAACUACGUGCCAGCCGCCGCGGUAAUUC
rnacentral:rRNA from 1 species